AGUGAACGCUGGCGGCGUGCCUAAUACAUGCAAGUCGAACGGAAUUUAAAAGAGCUUGCUCUUUUAAAUUUAGUGGCGCACGGGUGAGUAAUAUAUAGCUAAUCUGCCCCUUGCUGGAGGACAACAGUUAGAAAUGACUGCUAAUACUCCAUACUCCUUUUUACCAUAAGAUAAAUCGGGAAAGAAUUUCGGCAAGGGAUGAGACUAUAUCGUAUCAGCUAGUCGGUGGGGUAACGGCCUACCGAGGCUAUGACGCGUAACUGGUCUGAGAGGAUGAUCAGUCACAUUGGAACUGAGACACGGUCCAAACUCCUACGGGAGGCAGCAGUAGGGAAUAUUGCGCAAUGGGGGAAACCCUGACGCAGCAACGCCGCGUGGAGGAUGACACUUUUCGGAGCGUAAACUCCUUUUGUUAGGGAAGAAUAAUGACGGUACCUAACGAAUAAGCACGGCUA
rnacentral:rRNA from 1 species